rnacentral:rRNA from 1 species
CCCUUAGAUGUUCGGGGCCGCACGCGCGCUACACUAAAGGAAUCAGCACGUCUUUCUCCUUGUCCGAAAGGACUGGGUAACCCGCUGAACCUCCUUCGUGCUAGGGAUUGGGGCUUGUAAUUCUUCCCCAUGAACGAGGAAUUCCCAGUAAGCGCGAGUCAUAAGCUCGCGUUGAUUACGUCCCUGCCCUUUGUACACACCGCCCGUCGCUACUACCGAUUGGAUGGUUUAGUGAGAUCCUCGGAUUGGUCCCGGAGCGGCCUCUGGUCGUGCCGGAGUGCCGAAAAGAAUGUCGAACUUGAUCAUCUAGAGGAAGUAAAAGUCGUAACA